GAUGAACGCUGGCGGCGUGCCUAAUACAUGCAAGUCGAACGAAACUUCUUUAUCACCGAGUGCUUGCACUCACCGAUAAAGAGUUGAGUGGCGAACGGGUGAGUAACACGUGGGCAGCCUGCCCAAAAGAGGGGGAUAACACUUGGAAACAGGUGCUAAUACCGCAUAACCAUAGUUACCGCAUGGUAACUAUGUAAAAGGUGGCUAUACUACCGCUUUUGGAUGGGCCCGCGGCGCAUUAGCUAGUUGGUAGGGUAAAGGCUUACCAAGGCAAUGAUGCGUAGCCGAAUUGAGAGGUUGAUCGGCCACAUUGGGACUGAGACACAGCCCAAACUCCUACGGGAGGCAGCAGUAGGGAAUCUUCCACAAUGGGCGAAAGCCUGAUGGAGCAACGCCGCGUGGGUGAAGAAGGUCUUCGGAUCGUAAAACCCUGUUGUUAGAGAAGAAAGUGCGUGAGAGUAACUGUUCACGUUUCGACGGUAUCUAACCAGAAAGCCACGGCUAACUACGUG
rnacentral:rRNA from 1 species